CCUACGGGAGGCAGCAGUAGGGAAUAUUGCUCAAUGGGCGAAACCCUGAACCAGCAACGCCGCGUGGAGGAUGACGGCCUUCCGAUUGUAAACUCCCUUUUUCAGAGAAGCUAAUGACGGUAUCUAUCGAAUAAGCACAGGACAAAGACGAGCCAACAGCCGCGGUAAUAAGGCGGGUGCAAGCGUUACUCGGAAUCAAUGGGCGUAAAGGGGGCGUAGGGGGGAUAGCAAGUUCGGUGUGAAAUCCUAUGGGCUAAACCUAGAACUGCAUUUGAAACUGGUUUUCUAGAGUUGGGGAGAGGUAGGUGGAAUUCGUGGUGUAGGGGUGAAAUGCGUAGAGAUCAAGAGGAACACUGAUUGCGAAGGCGACCUGCUGGAACAUAACUGACGCUGAUGCGCGAAAGCGUGGGGAGCGAACAGGAUUAGAUACCCUAGUAGUC
rnacentral:rRNA from 1 species